GUGAUCUCAAUUGUGGACCCUUGGAUUUUCAUCAUUUUCAGGACAUCAGUAUUUCGGAUGUUUUUUCACAAGAUUUUCAUAAGGCCGCUUACGUAUAGAAAUAGGCACAUCAUUGCCUGCCAAACUCAGAUGGAAAGUCUUGCAGUCUCCGGUUAGCAACACUAUGAAAAAGGAACAAGAGGGGAAGAUACGCUGCAGCUGUUAAACUAAACAAGCACACAGGUAAAAGCUUUUACCUUUGGUGAAAAAAACAGAUGGGGGACAUUCGGGCAUUUUCAGCAUCUCCAGAGUCCCUUGGUACCCUGACACACGCAGACUCUGAGAUGGAGAGCCGGCUGCCCUUGAACAGACCCGAGACGCCGGGUCAGCCAUCCCUUCCAAAGACAAGAGCAUUGGACUUAUUGCCAACAGAGCAGCAACCCCACUUUGCACCUUUGGUUUAUAUCAAUGAUGAUAUUAACCUGGAUGUGUGUGUGUGUGUGUGUGUGUGUGUGUAGCAACACUGUGAAAUGGCCAAUUAGGAAUACCUGAAUUAUAAUUUUGCGAGUAUGAUGGGGUGAAAAAUGCAGUCAUUUUCAAUGUUUAAUUUUCAUUUGUAUAUUUAAUAUGUGAGUACAUACGUGUUUUAUUGUGGAGGAAGUGAAGUUUUUUGUGUUCUCCUUUUGGAAGGUGUGUUGUGAUCAUUGUCAAGGUCACCUGAAAAGGUCACAGAUGAAUCAAUAAACAUCUUUAUAAUAUUUUGCAGAGGAAAUUACUUUUCUUCUAAAAAAGAAA